rnacentral:rRNA from 1 species
AGCAGCCGCGGUAAUUCCAGCUCCAAUAGCGUAUAUUAAAGUUGUUGCAGUUAAAAAGCUCGUAGUUGAAUUUCGGGGUCAGUAGGUUGGUCAUGCCNCCGGUACGUACUGGUCUCACUGAUUCCUCCUUCCUGAUGAGCNGUAAUGCCAUUAAUUUGGUGUUGCAGGGAAUCUGGACUGUUACUUUGAAAAAAUUAGAGUGUUUAAAGCAGGCUAACGCUUGAAUACAUUAGCAUGGAAUAAUGAAAUAGGACGUUCGAUCCUAUUUUGUUGGUUUCUAGGAUUGACGUAAUGAUUAAUAGGGAUAGUUGGGGGCAUUAGUAUUCAAUUGUCAGAGGUGAAAUUCUUGGAUUUAUUGAAGACUAACUACUGCGAAAGCAUUUGCCAAGGAUGUUUUCAUUAAUCAAGAACGAAAGUUAGGGGAUCGAAGACGAUCAGAUACCGUCGUAGUCUUAACCAUAAACUAUGCCGACUAGGGAUCGGAUGA